rnacentral:rRNA from 1 species
UACAGAGGCCUCGAGCGUUAGGCGGAAUCACUGGGCUUAAAGCGUGUGUAGGCGGAUUGGUAAGUACCUUGUGAAAUCCCACAGCUUAACUGUGGAACUGCUCGGUAUACUGCUGAUCUUGAGCCACUCAGGGGCUACCGGAACAAAUGGUGGAGCGGUGAAAUGCGUAGAGAUCGUAAGGAAGACCAGUGGCGAAGGCGGGUCUCUGGACAGUUCCUGACACUGAGGCACGAAGGCCAGGGGAGCAAACGGG